UACGUAGGGAGCAAGCGUUGUCCGGAAUCAUUGGGCGUAAAGAGCGCGUAGGUGGCUUUAUAAGUCCGUUGUGAAAGUCAAAGGCUCAACCUUUGAAAGCCGAUGGAUACUGUGAAGCUAGAGUACGGAAGAGGCGAGUGGAAUUCCUGGUGUAGCGGUGAAAUGCGCAGAUAUCAGGAAGAACACCCGUGGCGAAGGCGGUUCUCUGGGACGGUACUGACGCUGAGACGCGAAAGCGUGGGGAGCGAACAGG
rnacentral:rRNA from 1 species